GACGAACGCUGGCGGCGUGCCUAAUACAUGCAAGUCGAGCGCAGGAAGCCGUCUGAACCCUUCGGGGGGACGACGGUGGAAUGAGCGGCGGACGGGUGAGUAACAUGUAAAGAACCUGCCCAUAGGUCUGGGAUAACCACGAGAAAUCGGGGCUAAUACCGGAUGUGUCAUCGGACCGCAUGGUCCGAUGAUGAAAGGCGCUCCGGCGUCGCCCAUGGAUGGCUUUGCGGUGCAUUAGCUAGUUGGUGAGGUAACGGCCCACCAAGGCGACGAUGCAUAGGCGACCUGAGAGGGUGAUCGGCCACACUGGGACUGAGACACGGCCCAGACUCCUACGGGAGGCAGCAGUAGGGAAUCUUCCACAAUGGACGAAAGUCUGAUGGAGCAACGCCGCGUGAACGAUGAAGGCUUUCGGGUCGUAAAGUUCUGUUGUAAGGGAAGAACAAGUGCCGCAGGCAAUGGCGGCACCUUGACGGUACCUUGCGAGAAAGCCACGGCUAACUACGUGCCAGCCGCCGCGGUAA
rnacentral:rRNA from 1 species